UUAACUCAAACUUCCUCUAAAAAAAGAAUGUGAUUUAUUUGCAUAUUUUUUGUUCCCCGGCCAGUUAAGGGUAAGCUUUUGCAUGAAAGGCGGUUUUGUUAGAUACAGUUUCUUUCAUUGUGAUUAGAACGGAUGUGACAGGAACAUGCUGUGUUUUGGGAAGAUAACUCUGGCUGCAGUGAGGGAAAUAAGAUCUUUUUCUGACCAGCUUGUUCCAGUGGAGAACAUGGUUUGCUUCUGAAGGGGUCCUCUGGAGAGCUGACCACACAGGAUACUUCAUGGUGAAAAAGUUUUCUUCUUUCCCUUUGAGGUACCCCCUGGCUAGAUGGCAUCACCGACUCGAUGGCCGUGAGUCUGAGUGAACUCCGGGAGUUGAUGAUGGACAGGGAGGCCUGGCGUGCUACGAUUCAUGGGGUCGCAAAGAGUCGGACACGACUGAGUGACUGAACUCAUCUGAACUGAACUGCCCUUUUCUUCAUUCCUCCCUACCUGAGGCACCUUGCUCCAUGAGAUAAAACUGUAUGGAAGCCUGAUCUUUGUUAGCUAAACUUAUGACAGGAUCGGGUCAUUAAUUUAUGUGGAAGUAUAAAGCAGGGUUAUUCAACCUCCUCACUAGUGACAUUUUGGACUGGAUAAUUCUCUAUUGGGGUUGGGAGUGGGGUGCUGUCCUGUGCAUUCUAGGACCUUUAACCAAAUCUCUGGUCUCUACCCACCAAAGGCCAACAGCUGCCUUCACCCCAGCUGUGACACCAACACUUUCUGUAGAUAUUGCC
ensembl:lncRNA